UACGUAGGGUGCAAGCGUUAAUCGGAAUUACUGGGCAUAAAGCGUGCGCAGGCGGUUUUGUAAGUCUGACGUGAAAGCCCCGGGCUCAACCUGGGAAUUGCGUUGGAGACUGCAAGGCUAGAAUCUGGCAGAGGGGGGUAGAAUUCCACGUGUAGCAGUGAAAUGCGUAGAGAUGUGGAGGAACACCGAUGGCGAAGGCAGCCCCCUGGGUCAAGAUUGACGCUCAUGCACGAAAGCGUGGGGAGCAAACAGG
rnacentral:rRNA from 1 species